CUGGAGUAAGGUUACAGCACAUCAUGCUUGUUGAACUGAACUGCAUAGAACACCUCACUGACACCAGAAGACAUGGACCACACCUCUGUAAUACUCUCCCGUACCUUCGCCUGGACAUUUACAAAAUUAACAAUAUUCUUGUUCUCUCCGUGAACACAGGGCAUACAGAGUGCAUGCAUCUGAUAAAGAAUUUUGCUACAUCAUUGAACCUAUGUGGACAUGGGACUUUAGAACAUAGAACCUGCGAAAUUAGGAGUCAACUCCAUUACCUUCCUAAGGGCACUUAUCCUCAGUCAGAGUGUGAGCUAUGAGUGGAUCCUGUCUCUUCGUCUUCUACAGUACAUGAAGGUGCUUCCAGGGCAGGCGGAAUUCUGUACGACUUUUAUCUAACCAGCGAACGCCAUUAUAUUCUUUGCUGUCAAUUUGUCGGAUGAGCCAACAGGCAAAACGCUCUUUGUUUUGGGUUCUGAGAUGAAAAAAAAAGCUAAUUAUCAAGUCAAAGUGUGAAGUGUGAGACAGAUACAUAGGGCUAAUCACCAACUUUGCUUAAUCUGCACUAAACCGUGACAACCAGAAAUUUGCCGCUGCUGUGACACAGAUAAACUGGAUCUAAAAAUGGGAAACAAAAUGAGGUCAAACAACUAAAUAUGAAACAUUGGAUUAAAAAAUAGCUGCAGCUCAUUUAAGACCUACCCUGAACUGAACACUACAUUGCUAAGAAAGCCUUUAUCCCAGUCCAUCCUCUUAAUUAUGUACAUGAAGAAAAACUCAUCAAUGUUUGGACUAUUCAUAUUCAACAAUCAUCUUACACCCAAUGUCAUACUGUAUGACUCAAGUGGACAUACAUAUCUUUACUGGAUGUGGACAAGGCCAUUUAGUUUGGAUUCCAUUUCAGCUUUUACUUACUGCGUUUGAUACUCACAAUCAAGAUGAGGGGAGUGUGGAUGAUGUCUUGGAGGUGUGUCCAAAAUUUGGAGUGGGGGGACAGAACAUACGGACGAUAAUCUUCGUGGCGGGGUAGCCUGCUGUGUUUGUGGCGGGACAGAUGACCUUGCUUUCUUUUCGGCCACAGGUUUCUUGUGGUGAUGUCUAACAGAAGAGCCACUUCUGCUGCUCCUUACUUCUUUUGAUGGACCUUUUAAUGAAAGUGCAAUUUUGUUAUGCCCAUUCCUUUACAAGCAUUCCCUAUACUACAAUGGACACUUUACCUGUUUCCGCAGCGUCAUCAUCAUCAGAUGUGUUAGGAUUUACUGGCCGACGAGUAGUACUGCUUUUUUCUGACACUGUAUAAAAUGAGAUAUAUUCAUAAAUCAUGCUAUUGUGUAUACAUCCACCCAUUAUGCUU